UNAGUUAGCCGUGGCUUUCUGGUUAGAUACCGUCAGGGGACGUUCAGUUACUAACGUCCUUGUUCUUCUCUAACAACAGAGUUUUACGAUCCGAAAACCUUCUUCACUCACGCGGCGUUGCUCGGUCAGACUUUCGUCCAUUGCCGAAGAUUCCCUACUGCUGCCUCCCGUAGG
rnacentral:rRNA from 1 species